rnacentral:rRNA from 6 species
AAACUAACAAGGAUUCCCCUAGUAACUGCGAGUGAAGCGGGAAAAGCUCAAAUUUAAAAUCUGGUGGUCUUUGGCCAUCCGAGUUGUAAUCUAGAGAAGUGUUACCCGCGUCGGACCGUGUACAAGUCUCCUGGAAUGGAGCGUCAUAGAGGGUGAGAAUCCCGUCUUUGACACGGACCCCCGAGGCUUUGUGGUGCGCUCUCAAAGAGUCGAGUUGUUUGGGAAUGCAGCUCAAAAUGGGUGGUAAAUUCCAUCUAAAGCUAAAUAUUGGCGAGAGACCGAUAGCGAACAAGUACCGUGAGGGAAAGAUGAAAAGAACUUUGGAAAGAGAGUUAAACAGUACGUGAAAUUGCUGAAAGGGAAACGCUUGAAGUCAGUCGCGUUGGCCGGAAAUCAGCCUUCCUUUUGGUUGGUGUACUUUCUGGUUGACGGGCCAGCAUCAGUUUUGACCGGUGGAUAAAGUUGUGAGGAAUGUGGCAUCUUCGGGUGUGUUAUAGCCUCGCUUCGUAUACAUCGAUUGGGACUGAGGAACUCAGCACGCCGAAAGGCCGGGGUUCGCCCACGUUCGUGCUUAGGAUGCUGGCAUAAUGGCUUUAAUCGAC